AAUAGCCCCUGAUCAAAGGGAGAAAUUUUUACAGCGUUUUCAUCAAAUGCAGCAACAAGGUCACAGCAUCUUUUUGGGCAUGCCUCCCUUGGCUGGAGGAAAUCAGAAGCAGUUUUCUGCACAACAGCAAGCCCCCCCCCUUGCAGCAGUUCAAUUCUCAAAGCUCAUCGAUCUCUCCUCAAGUCAGUAUAGGGCUAGGAUCACAAAUGCCAGGUCUUAACAAUGUAUCUGGCUUGGCUCUGCAACAACAACUGGGUUCCAUCCAUCAACGGUUCAGUCAGCAAUAUUUUGCUCUUUCAGGUCCAAGAGAUUCCGCUACAUAGCUCUUAUUUGCAACAAUACAGAGUACCAUCAAAUAUUGGGAUCAGCUUGACUCAGAAUUAGAGUUUCUGAAUCAUUUAAGACAUAAGUUGGCAAGGGGAAAAUUCAGGAGCAGCUGGGG